rnacentral:rRNA from 1 species
GACGAACGCUGGCGGCGUGCCUAAUACAUGCAAGUAGAACGCUGAAGGAGGAGCUUGCUUCUCUGGAUGAGUUGCGAACGGGUGAGUAACGCGUAGGUAACCUGCCUGGUAGCGGGGGAUAACUAUUGGAAACGAUAGCUAAUACCGCAUAAGAGUAGAUGUUGCAUGACAUUUGCUUAAAAGGUGCAAUUGCAUCACUACCAGAUGGACCUGCGUUGUAUUAGCUAGUUGGUGGGGUAACGGCUUACCAAGGCGACGAUACAUAGCCGACCUGAGAGGGUGAUCGGCCACACUGGGACUGAGACACGGCCCAGACUCCUACGGGAGGCAGCAGUAGGGAAUCUUCGGCAAUGGACGGAAGUCUGACCGAGCAACGCCGCGUGAGUGAAGAAGGUUUUCGGAGCGUAAAGCUCUGUUGUAAGAGAAGAACGAGUGUGAGAGUGGAAAGUUCACACUGUGACGGUAUCUUACCAGAAAGGGACGGCUAACUACGUGC